GCUCAACCGGGGAGGGUCAUUGGAAACUGGGGAACUUGAGUGCAGAAGAGGAGAGUGGAAUUCCACGUGUAGCGGUGAAAUGCGUAGAGAUGUGGAGGAACACCAGUGGCGAAGGCGACUCUCUGGUCUGUAACUGACGCUGAGGCGCGAAGCGUGGGGAGCGAACAGGAUUAGAUACCCUGGUAGUCCACGCCGUAAACGAUGAGUGCUAAGUGUUAGAGGGUUUCCGCCCUUUAGUGCUGCAGCAAACGCAUUAAGCACUCCGCCUGGGGAGUACGGUCGCAAGACUGAAACUCAAAGGAAUUGACGGGGGCCCGCACAAGCGGUGGAGCAUGUGGUUUAAUUCGAAGCAACGCGAAGAACCUUACCAGGUCUUGACAUCCUCUGACAACCCUAGAGAUAGGGCUUCCCCUUCGGGGGCAGAGUGACAGGUGGUGCAUGGUUGUCGUCAGCUCGUGUCGUGAGAUGUUGGGUUAAGUCCCGCAACGAGCGCAACCCUUGAUCUUAGUUGCCAGCAUUCAGUUGGGCACUCUAAGGUGACUGCCGGUGACAAACCGGAGGAAGGUGGGGAUGACGUCAAAUCAUCAUGCCCCUUAUGACCUGGGCUACACACGUGCUACAAUGGGCAGAACAAAG
rnacentral:rRNA from 1 species